AUACUUACCUGGACGGGGUCGACGGGUGAUCAGGAAGACCCGUGGCCUAGGCUAGUGGCCCACAUUGCACAUGGUGGGUGCGUUGGCUUACCAUCUUCCUAAAAUGGGAGAGUGGACGUCAUAAUUUGUGGUAGAGGGGGUACGCGUUCGCGCGGCCCCUGC
rnacentral:snRNA from 1 species